rnacentral:misc_RNA from 1 species
AAGUCGUAACAAGGUUUCCGUAGGUGAACCUGCGGAAGGAUCAUUAUCGUACAAUGGAGGUGCUGGGGUUGUCGCUGACUUUUGAAAGGGUCGUGCACACCUCGGUGCUCUCACAUAUAAUCCAUCUCACCCCUUUUGUGCAUCACCGCGUGGGGACCCCUUUUGGCUAGUUCUGAGGGGGGUUUUCACGUUUUUACACAGACACCCUUUUAAUGCAAUGUGUAGAAUGUCUUACUUUUUGCGAUCACACGCAAUCAAUACAACUUUCAACAACGGAUCUCUUGGCUCUC